CAAAGAUGAUAUUGUUUGUAAGCAUGCUCUUGUAUAGUAAUUAAAAUUAUAUAGCUUACAUUUUCAUUUACAUAAACUGUGUUAAUAGUUCUAAAUUAUCAAGUGGUAUUUAAGUUACUUAGUUGUACUGCUCAUGAUAUGGCAUAGUAGAUAUUAGAAUCAGCCAUUUUUCAUUUUAAAUUAGUUAUAAAAUUUUGACCCACUAGUGUUUAAAUGGUUUCUAUUUAUUAUUUCUAGCCUAUAAUAUUGUUUCCUUAUAUUAUUUGUCUUUAAAAGAAAAUUUGCUAUAUUCAAUGAUAAAUGUAUUUUAAUAAAAUUCCUUCUAUAAAAAUUUAGAAUGUUAUUUUUGCAGGCUUAGACUUCAUUAAAGAAACACAAAAUGAAGCUGGUGAUUUGUACAAUUGUUUUCUUUGUGGAGCAUGCACAUCUUCUUAUGAUAUUAUUGAACAUCUUAUUCAACCAAAGCAUAAAGUUAAAUACUUGGAGACCCUAAAUGCAAGAGGGUGCGAAAACUUUAUAGAAAAUAUUAAAUCUUUGUCUGAUGUCUCUGCUCGUUCUAAGGAAUGUAUGAUUGAUGAAGAAUGCCGUAA